ACAAAGGGAAGCUAGCAGGCGGGAACCCUCUCGAGGGUUGCACGCCCGGCCGACUAUCUUCGAGGUUCGAGUUGGAGCAUGCAUGCCGGGACCCAGAAAGAUGACGAACUAUGCAAUGAGGUGAAGCGGAGAGCUUCUGGUGGAGGCCAGCGUCGCAGCGUCUGGAAAAUCGUUCGAUGCGACUUUGGGUAGAGUGAAGACUAAUCAUCUAGUAGGCUGGACGGUUUCCCUCAGAAGUUUCAGGAUAUUUGGGGCCCGUGCGGUUCUAUAUGAUUGACCAAUGAUUAAGAGCCUUCGAGGCGCCAGCAACGCCCUCAUUCAUCCUCAAACUUUAAAUAGGUAGGACGGCUGCUUAGUUGAACCGUCGGAAUCGAGAGCUCAAGUGGGCCAUUUUGGUAGCGGUAGCGUCGGGAUGAGCAGGAGCCCAGAGAUUCUGAUUGCCGAUGCGCUAACCCGGACACCGAGGGUGUUGGUCGAUUAAAGACAAGCGGGGCGGUGGUCAUGAAAUUGAAAUCCGCUAAGGGUGUGGCAACUCACUGCGGAUGUAGCCCGAAAAUGGAUGCCGGUAGCGCCGACCCACCCGAUACCGCUGAGUGGCGUAAGCGAUGGGUAAAGUGCGGCGGUCGCCCAUAAAACCAGAGCCGAGACGGCCGUCGGUGCAGAUCUUGGUAGUAGCAAAUAUUCAAAUGAGAACUUUGAAGGUCAAGGGGAAAGGUUCCAUGUGAAGCGGCACUUGCAAUACGGGUUAGCCGAUCCUGGGGGACGGAAAACCACCGAGAGCGGUAAUCUCCCGCUUGAAGCUAAAGGGAAUCGGUUAAAAUUCCCGGCGGGACGCUUGGCCGGACGGCAACGUUAGGGAAGUCCGAGACGCCGGUGGGGGCUCCGGAAGUGUUAUCUUUUCUGCUUAACGGGUUCGCAACCCUGGAAACGGCUCAGCCGGAGGUAGGGUCCAGUCUGCCGGAAGGCGCAUCCGGCGGCGUCCGGCAGCCUGGGAUCUUUGAAAAUCGAGGACCCCAGUGCCUCUGCGGGUCGUACUCAUAACCGCAUCAGUCUCCAAGGUGAACAGCCUGGCCCAUGGAACAAUGUAGGCAAGGGAAGUCGGCAAAACGGAUCCAGUGAAUCGGAAAAGGAUUGGCUCUGAGGGGGCACGGGGUCCGCCCCGAAACCGCCGGUUGUCGGCGAUGGUUUCGACUCUGCUCCGCGCGAGCUUACCGUCACAAGUGGGACGGGGACGGAAUUCGGAAGAUAUAUGGCCUUCGGGGGCGCCGAACGAAUUCCGGAACUGGUGGACAGGGGAAUCGAACGCUUAAUUAAAACAAAGCAUUGCGCAUGGUCCCGCUGAUGCUCACGCGAAUGUGAUUUCUGCCCGCUCCCAUGUCAAAGUGAAGAAAUUCAACCAAGCGGGUAAACGACGGAGUAACAUGACUCUUUCUUAAGGUAGCCAAAUGCCCGUCAUCUAAUUAGUGACGCAUGAAUGGAUUAACAGGAUUCCCAACGUCCCCGUUUUACUAUCCAAGAAAACCGUUGCCAAAGGAACGGGCUUGGGUGAAUCAGAGGGAAAGAAGACCUGCGUUGAGCUUGACUCUAGUCCGACUUUGUGAAUGACAUGAGAGGUGUAGUAUAAGUGGGUUUUGUUCGCCUACGGAAGUGAAAUACCACUACUUUUUAACGUUAUUUUACUUAUUCCGCGGAGUUCGGGCCGGGCCCGACCCUCCUUUUGGACCCAAAGGCCGCCUAGCCCGGCCGAUCCCGGCGAAGACAUUGUCGGGUGGGGAGUUUUAUUGGGCGGCACAUCAUUAAAAAGAUAACGAGGUGUCCUAAGAUGAGCCUCAACGAGAACAGAAAUCUCGUGUAAGGGAACAAAAAGGUAAAAGUUCGUUUGAUUCCGAUUUCCAAUACUAAUAAUGAACCAGUGGAAAGCAUGGCCCUAUCGAUCCUUUAGACCUUCGAAUUUGAAGCUAGAGGUGUCGAAAAGUUACCAUUGGGGAUAGCGGGCUUGUAGCGGCCAAAAGUUAUCAUAAAGCGACGUUGUUUUUGAUCCUUUCGAUGUCGCUCUUCCCUAUCAUUGUGAAGCAGAAUUCACCAAGUGUUGGAUUGUUCACCCACCAAUAGGGAACGUGAGCUGGGUUUCAGACCGUGCGCGGAGACAAAGUUAGUUUUACCCUACCGAUGAUCGGUCACGAUAGUAAUUCAAUCUAGUACGAGGAACCGUUGAUUCACAACAAUUGGUCAUCGAGCUUGGUUGAAAAGCCAGUGGCGCCAAGCCACCGGUGUCGAUUAUGACUGAACGCGUCUAAGUCAGAAUCCCAGCUAGCAACCGGCGCUCACCGGUCGUCGUCCUCUCUCGACCCUGGUAGGGGCCUUUGGCCCCAUGGGCUCGUGGUCGCCGUAUAGCCCUCGUGGUGGUAUAGGCCAGCGGCCAUCGGAAGUGAAAUUCCGCACGGACGACGGGUCAAUUUUGCAUUUAAUUAAUUUAAAUACGCUGGGGC
rnacentral:rRNA from 1 species